CCCUUAGAUGUUCUGGGCUGCACGCGUGCUACAAUGGCGCUUGCAACAAGUCUUGCCAACCCGAUAGGGUGAGCGGAUCUUUGAAGAGGCGUCGUGAUCGGGACAGUUGAUUGCAAUUAUUCGACUCGAACGAGGAAUUCCUUGUAAUCGCGAUUCAUCAUAUCGCGCUGGAUACGUCCCUGCCCUUUGUACACACCGCCCGUCGCUCCUACCGAUUGAGCGAUCCGGUGAAUGUUUUGGACUGGCGUCAGAAGCGGUUCGCUCCUGACACUACGAAAUUUUGUAAACCUUAUCGCUUAGAGGAAGGAAAAGUCGUAACA
rnacentral:rRNA from 1 species